AACGAACGCUGGCGGCGUGCCUAACACAUGCAAGUCGAACGCGAAAGGGGGCAACCCCCGGUAGCGUGGCAGACGGGUGAGUAACACGUGGGUAACCUACCCGGAGGUGGGGGAUAACCUUCGAAAGGAGGGCUAAUACCGCAUGACACCGCGGGGACUUCGGUCCUUGCGAUCAAAGCUGGCCUCUGUUUACAAGCUAGCGCCACCGGAUGGGCCCGCGCCCCAUUAGCUAGUUGGUGAGGUAACGGCUCACCAAGGCGACGAUGGGUAGCCGGCCUGAGAGGG
rnacentral:rRNA from 1 species